rnacentral:rRNA from 1 species
CCUACGGGUGGCAGCAGUGGGGAAUAUUGGACAAUGGGCGCAAGCCUGAUCCAGCGACGCCGCGUGAAGGAAGAAGUCUUUCGGUUUGUAAACUUCUAUCAGCAGGGAAGAAAAUAACGCUACAUCACUAAGAUACCCCAGCUAACUCCGUGCGAGCAGCCGCGGUAAUACGUAGGGGGCAAGCGUUAUCCGGAUUUUCUGGGUGUAAAGGGAGCGUAGGGGGUUUAGCAAGUCAGAAGUGAAAGCCCGGGGCUCAACUCCGGGACUGCUUUUGAAAAUGUUGAACUAGAGUGCAGGAGAGGUAAGUGGAAUUCCUAGUGUAGCGGUGAAAUGCGUAGAUAUUAGGAGGAACACCAGUGGCGAAGGCGGCUUACUGGACUGUAAAUGACGCUGAGGCGCGAAAGCGUGGGGAGCAAACAGGAUUAGAUACCCGAGUAGUC